rnacentral:lncRNA from 1 species
GAGAACUACUGCAUAUGUGAUACUGUUCAUCAACAUGUGAAGACUGAAAAGGAGUCUUGUCAGUGUAAUAAUCUUGGUGAAAUGCUUCGUGAUCCCUCCCAUGAUGCACUUUAUAAAAGAGGUGACACUACAGAAACUUCAAAUAACCACAGAUGCUGUAAGGACAGGGAUUCCUCUGUUGACUCAUCAAACCAGUGCAGACAUAGGAGCAUCCACACUGGAGAAGAACCUUGCAUAUCUGAAGACUGUGAGAAAUCUUUAAAUGUGUGUUCCAGCAUUAUUCAAGAUAAAAGUCUCUACACUGCAAAUAAAGAGCACAGAGAAGAUGAAUAUGACAACUAUUUCAACUGUACAUAUAAUCUCAUGCAACAAACAAUUCUACCUUGAAGAGAAACCACAUAAGUGUGGGAAAUGUGGUAAAUGUUUCAGUACCUCCUCAAGGCUCAUUAAACAUCAGAGAAUUCAUACUGGAAAGAAACCUUACAAGUGUAACAUUUGUGACAAAUCUUAUAAUCAGUGUGCAAAUCUUAAAAUACAUCAAAGACUUCAUACUGGAGAGAAACCUUACAAAUGCAAAGAAUGUGGAAAGUCAUUUCGUCAAACCUCCGUACUUAAAAGCCAUCAGAAAAUGCAUACUGGGGAGAAACCUUACAAAUGUAAGCAAUGUGACAAAUCCUUUGCCCACUCUUCCAGUUUUAGGACACACCAGAAAAUCCAUACUUCUGAAGAACACUGUAGUUGUCCAGAAUGUGGCAGGGAAUUUCAUCAGCUUUCACACCUUAGAAAACAUUACAGACUCCAUACUGGAGAGAAGCCUUACAAAUGCAAUGAGUGUGACAGAUCCUUUACCCACUAUGCAUCAUUAAAAUGGCAUGAGAAAACUCAUACUCCAGAGAUACAUUAUGAAUGCAAAGAAUGUGGUAAGACCUUUAUUGAAUUAUCACAUCUUAAAAGGCAUUCCAGAAUCCAUACUGGUGAAAAGCCUUAUAAAUGUGAGGUGUGUGACAAAUCCUUUACGGUGAAUUCAACUCUUAAGACACAUCAGAAAAUUCAUACUGGAGAGAAACCUUACAAAUGUAUAGAAUGUGACAAAUCCUUUACUCAUAACUCACAUCUCAGAAGACAUCAGAGUGUUCAUACUGGAGAGAGACCUUACAGAUGUAAGGAAUGUGAUAAAACUUUUACUGAGUGCUCAACUCUUAGAGAACAUCAGAAAAUUCAUACUGGAGAAAAAACAUACAAAUGUGGAGAAUGUGACAAAUCUUUUACCCAGCAUUCAUAUCUUAGAAGUCAUCUUAGAGUUCAUACAGGAGAGAGACCUUAUGUAUGUAAGGAAUGUGGCAAAUCUUUUACUACAUGCUCAAUUCUUAGAACACAUCAGAAAAUUCAUACUGGAGAGAAACCAUACAAAUGUAGGCAAUGUGACAAAUCUUUUACCCAGGACUCACAUCUUCGAACACAUCACAGAGUUCAUACUGGAGAGAGACCUUACAGUUGUAAGGAAUGUGACAAAUCUUUUACUCGGUGCUCCUACCUUAGAGCACAUCAGAAAAUUCAUACUGGAGAGAAACCAUACAAGUGCAAAGACUGUGACAUAUCCUUUGUCCGGAUUUCUAGUCUUAGAAUACAUCAGAAAAUUCAUACUGGAGAGAAACCUUACAAAUGCAAAGACUGUGACAUAUCAUUUAACCAGAUUUCAAAUCUCAGAAGACAUCAGAAACUUCAUACUGGUGAGAAACCUUACAAAUGUAUGGAAUGUGACAAGUCCUUUACUCAUAACUCAAAUCUUAGAGCACAUCAGAGAGUUCAUACUGGAGAGAAACCUUAUAGAUGUACAGAAUGUGACAAAUCUUUUACUAGGUGCUCCUACCUUAGAGCACAUCAGAAAAUUCAUACUGGAGAGAAACCUUACAAAUGCAAAGACUGUGACAAAUCCUUUAUCCACCUUUCAAAUCUUAGAAGACAUCAGAGAGUUCAUACUGGAGAGAAACAUACCAAUGUA